rnacentral:lncRNA from 1 species
GAUUAACUACCACAGCAAAUCAUACAUGACUUGAACUUAUCUGGGACAAAUCGAAUACCGGUACAUCUGCAUAUUCAAUUUUUAGAUCACUUUAAGCAUAGGACUAAGGUGGGGGAUUUGAUCUUCUGCACAAAAAGAGGUAAAACUUAAAAAAAAAAAAACAGUGGAAUUUUACAAAUCUCUUUCCUAGAUUCCGAGUUUGAGGUUAGUAUAAAUUAAGGUUUUAGGCCCC